AUGCCAGACUCCUACGGGAGGCAGCAGUGGGGAAUAUUGCACAAUGGGGGAAACCCUGAUGCAGCGACGCCGCGUGGGUGAAGAAGUCAUUCGUUACGUAAAUCCCUAUCAGCAGGGAAGAAAAUGACGGUACCUGAGUAAGAAGCCCCGGCUAACUACGUGCCAGCAGCCGCGGUAAUACGUAGGGGGCAAGCGUUAUCCGGAUUUACUGGGUGUAAAGGGAGCGUAGACGGAGCGCCAAGUCUGGAGUGAAAGGCGGGGGCUCAACCCCCGGACUGCUCUGGAAACUGUAGAACUAGAGUGCAGGAGGGGUAAGUGGAAUUCCUAGUGUAGCGGUGAAAUGCGUAGAUAUUAGGAGGAACACCAGUGGCGAAGGCGGCUUACUGGACUGUAACUGACGUUGAGGCUCGAAAGCGUGGGGAGCAAACAGGAUUAGAUACCCCAGUAUAU
rnacentral:rRNA from 1 species